UCGCCUCGCGUGGCACAUGAUCGAAGGAAAUCUCCAUGAAAUCCAUGAAAAGACAGGCACAGUCCUUGUAAAUAGCAGCUGCAAUCGUCGUGGAGUUACCUCUGUUCUCCAUAGUCUCCACAUCCACAACUUCCAUGCAGUCAGAUUCCACCAGGACCGUCGACGAGGGUGCGCGAGGUGCACGACCGUUCAGGGCCUCCAAAAUUAUGGGGCCACCAAAUCUACAGGUGGUUAUGGUUUUAGUUGGGGGAAAAAAAUGAGGGAAUCAACGCUAAUCACGCACGGGACUCCUUGACUACUGCCUCCAUCGCCUCGACUUCGACUCCCCUGCCUCCACGGCUCACCCAGGCGAUCCCAAUCGCCCUGCCUUGCUGCCCACUGCCGCUCGUCUCAGUAAUCUCGUUGAUCAGCCCUGCGCUUGAUUCGUUUGAUUGCUUCGGCCCUCAGUCCGUGGCCGUCCCUGUCCCCUAAUCCCUUGGCCCUUGCUAGUUGGCUUGCUGCAUCCAAGGCUCCAGGCGCUGCUUGUUUCCCUAGACGACGGCCUCCGUAUGUCACCGUGACUCCACAGUUCUUCCUGUCCAGACGUCCAGCCAUCGCGUCUCAACAUGCACGAGGUAUUUGGUCGAGCUUUUCAAGUCCAAGGUCAAGAUGAGAUGCAAUGGAGGCCAGCGGGAGGUGCAACAAGAAUCAAACAUCCACGUAGCUGAGAGAGAAGGAUUUCAAGUGUACUUUUCAACAAAUCAAACGGCACAUGAUUCGGAGGUUGCUAAAGAAAGAUACCACGAAUUAAAGUUGAAUCCGAUUCGGGUCCGAGCUGUCAGAAGAUCCAAAUUUGUUUCAAUCACACAGGCCGCAUCCGGAGUCCAAAUAGCGCAAACAAGUACUUGUUGGAAAGGUAAUUACAAGACCUUUCCAACGGAUCCGGCCUCACAAGGAGAUUCCACGUGUGCUGACCGUGACGGACAAAACAAGCUGACGGAUCUGUUUUUCUGUUUCCUAAAGAGUUGUUGUUUUGUUAGGAAAGUUAGAGAUAGAGUUGGAUUUCAGCCCCAUGCCCAAGUUGGCCGAAAAUCCAUCUUCCUCCUCCUUUAUAUACCUCAUGAGCCCCCUUAAGGAGCCUUGGGUUUUGUUUAGUUAAAAAUUAGCCAUCGUUACUACUUCGUGUAAUCGCGUGUGUCGGUUAGACCGACCUGCUUUACCGCUUUCAGAACCCCAACUUUUCGUCUCAUUGAGACAUUGGUUUGAUAUUGUAUAUUCGCAAUUUCAGAUUGCAUCUGCUAUU